rnacentral:rRNA from 1 species
GAUGAACGCUGGCGGCGUGCCUAAUACAUGCAAGUCGAACGAAACUUCUUUAUCACCGAGUGCCUGCACUCACCGAUAAAGAGUUGAGUGGCGAACGGGUGAGUAACACGUGGGCAACCUGCCCAAAAGAGGGGGAUAACACUUGGAAACAGGUGCUAAUACCGCAUAACCAUAGUUACCGCAUGGUAACUAUGUAAAAGGUGGCUAUACUACCGCUUUUGGAUGGGCCCGCGGCGCAUUAGCUAGUUGGUAGGGUAAAGGCUUACCAAGGCAAUGAUGCGUAGCCGAAUUGAGAGGUUGAUCGGCCACAUUGGGACUGAGACACGGCCCAAACUCCUACGGGAGGCAGCAGUAGGGAAUCUUCCACAAAGGGCGAAAGCCUGAUGGAGCAACGCCGCGUGGGUGAAGAAGGUCUUCGGAUCGUAAAACCCUGUUGUUAGAGAAGAAAGUGCGUGAGAGUAACUGUUCACGUUUCGACGGUAUCUAACCAGAAAGCCACGGCUAACUACGUG